rnacentral:rRNA from 1 species
GACGAACGCUGGCGGCAUGCCUAACACAUGCAAGUCGAGCGAGCAGAUCCCUUCGGGGUGAAGCUAGCGGCGGACGGGUGAGUAACACGUGGGCAACCUGCCUCAUAGAGGGGAAUAGCCUUCCGAAAGGAAGAUUAAUACCGCAUAAGAUUGUAGCUUCGCAUGAAGCAGCAAUUAAAGGAGCAAUCCGCUAUGAGAUGGGCCCGCGGCGCAUUAGCUAGUUGGUGAGGUAACGGCUCACCAAGGCGACGAUGCGUAGCCGACCUGAGAGGGUGAUCGGCCACAUUGGGACUGAGACACGGCCCAGACUCCUACGGGAGGCAGCAGUGGGGAAUAUUGCACAAUGGGGGAAACCCUGAUGCAGCAAUGCCGCGUGAGUGAUGACGGCCUUCGGGUUGUAAAGCUCUGUCUUCGGGGACGAUAAUGACGGUACCCGAGGAGGAAGCCACGGCUAACUACGUGCCAGCCGCCGCAGUAA